AGGGAUGUAGCUCAAUGAUAGAGUGCUUGCCUAGCAUGCAUGAGAUCCUGGAUUCAAUCUCCAACACUA
rnacentral:tRNA from 1 species